rnacentral:rRNA from 1 species
UACGGAGGAUCCGAGCGUUAUCCGGAUUUAUUGGGUUUAAAGGGAGCGUAGGUGGAUUGUUAAGUCAGUUGUGAAAGUUUGCGGCUCAACCGUAAAAUUGCAGUUGAAACUGGCAGUCUUGAGUACAGUAGAGGUGGGCGGAAUUCGUGGUGUAGCGGUGAAAUGCUUAGAUAUCACGAAGAACUCCGAUUGCGAAGGCAGCUCACUGGACUGUUGACUGACACUGAGGCUCGAAGGCCAGGGGAGCG